UUUUAUCAAUUUGGGAAGGAAUUUGUGGUUCUGAAUUUAUAUAAUCUGUAAAUGCGCGACAUAACAUAAAAUAAUUAUACGUAGUGUAAUUAUAUUCAGCUGUGAGCGCUUUGGAAGUGUGCUGUAUAAUGAAAGUGUUUGUUUAUUUGCCUGUCAGUUUCAACAAAAUGACACGUUUAUCUAGUCUAGGUUUGUGAUAAUCCAUGUUAAGAUGGUAACAGUUAUUUGUUGAUAGAGCAAAUUGAUAAGAUGUUAUGCAUGGUUUUCUCAGAUAUUGAAAUGUGACCCUUGCUCUAUAGAUUAUUUUCUGAAAAAUACGUUUGAACUACACACCCUGGCUGCCACUUCUCUGCACAUUCUCAAGAAUGUUAUCUAAAAUCUUUUUGAGUAGGCUACAUCAAGAGAUUGGAUGACUCAGGGAUUGCUUGCAUCAAUACAACUCUCCACUCAUCCCCUGUUAUUUCCAAUCUUUCUUCUAGGGAAGCAUAAAGUGCCUUAGACAGAAUGAGUGUCACCAACUACACAGAGGAAAGUAUGAGCAAGAUGGACAAAAGCAGUUCCUCUGGAUGUACACAGGAGGAAAACGUCCUUCAGCUGGAAAGACAUGGUCAUGUUCCUUGAGGGAGAGGACUGCUAGCAUUGAAAGUACGGUAUGCAAUAAGAAUUGAGCAGUAAAGGAAGGCUAACCGAUAUCAGAGCCUUUUUAUGUGUAAAUAGGUUAUGUAAAGAAACACUGACAAUGGUGACUGACUGUUAGACUUAUUCUUAGAGGAGUAUCUACCAUGGUGGAUAAAUGAAUAUAUCCCAUAAAGGCUGUUUACCAUUAAAAAAGGUAGGUCACAGUUCCGGUCUACUUAAGGAGUGGCUCUCCCAUACGCACCAAUGCAAUAGCAGCUGAGUCUGAUCUAGUUAGUUCAUUGACUGUGUAUAAACCAGAAAAAAUAUCUUGCUUGCUCUUCCGUCUCAGGUAUCUACCACAAAUCACGUGACAAUAUUUUUGCCCACAAUUCCAGAACAACACGUGCUCCGGUCGUUAAAGAACGAGCGUAUCUUUGCUUGGCAGCCCGGCGAAGACCUGUCCACGGAGUAGAUGUGUGAGGUCACGUUCAGACGCUGCAAUCAGCUGUUCCGAUGUUUGGUGGGACAGUGGCCAACUCCGGAUCCCAGAGACAUAGCCGAGUCAGAGACCCCAAGACUGCUGGUGAUGCCAGGAGUGAUGGUAGGAGAUACGGGGGAAAAACUGGGUGAGAACGGACUGGACAAUGAACAGGUUUAAUACCAUUUGUUUUUAUAGAAAAUAAAAUGAUGCCUUUCAUCACACCAUCCUAUUCUUUGGCAUUCAGUCUAAAUGAGAAACAUUCGUGUUAUUAUAUUACUAAACACUCAUUCAUUGUGAACAACGUCUUUUUGCGCCCCUACUGGAUGGAAAUUAUAAAUGUAAUGGCUGUGCUCAAUGCAAUGGCACUUAUAAAUGUAGAUCCUUCAA